GGCUCGGUGGUCUAGGUGUAUAAUGCUUGCUUCAGGUGUGAGAGGUCCUGGGUUCAAAUCACAGAUGAGCCC